rnacentral:rRNA from 1 species
GAUGAACGCUGGCGGCGUGCCUAAUACAUGCAAGUCGAGCGAACAGACGAGGAGCUUGCUCCUCUGACGUUAGCGGCGGACGGGCGAGUAACACGUGGAUAACCUACCUAUAAGACUGGGAUAACUUCGGGAAACCGGAGCUAAUACCGGAUCAUAUAUUGAACCGCAUGGUUCAAUAGUGAAAGACGGUUUUGCUGUCACUUAUAGAUGGAUCCGCGCCGCAUUAGCUAGUUGGUAAGGUAACGGCUUACCAAGGCAACGAUGCGUAGCCGACCUGAGAGGGUGAUCGGCCACACUGGAACUGAGACACGGUCCAGACUCCUACGGGAGGCAGCAGUAGGGAAUCUUCCGCAAUGGGCGAAAGCCUGACGGAGCAACGCCGCGUGAGUGAUGAAGGUCUUCGGAUCGUAAAACUCUGUUAUUAGGGAAGAACAAAUGUGUAAGUAACUAUGCACGUCUUGACGGUACCUAAUCAGAAAGCCACGGCUAACUACGUG